AUGCUCAGGAGGGUCUGCGUGUUGCGUUCAGGGUUCAUGGAAAGAGCAGCGCUGCAGCAACCAUGGAGAAAAGGAAAAGCCGGCGUGUUCGCUGGAACCGGGCAUCGCUCGGCAUCUACCUGGCCCCGGCCUUCCUUCCGUCUGUGUUGUGCCGCCGCCAUCAUGGCCGCCGUUGACCCCGCCCUCUCUGGCCCGUCACUCAGCAGCGGUUAAAAUGGCAGCGAGGGAGGGAGGGAGGGAGGGAGGGAGUGAGGGAGAGGCCCGACACGCUGAGCUUGGGCAUGCUCGACUGAGCUGGGACUUUCCUUUGUUCCCACGCUGGCCUGUGGUCCAUAUCCCCUUUAAAAAGAAAACCACUGAUGCACACCGACAUUCGGGGAGGGGGGCCCCCGCCAAAGACAAAACUUUUGGGCCUAACUUUUGCUGAGCAACUUUCUGUGCCGACCGAGUCCUCGUCCUCCUCCUCUCCUCUCAGGACAGACGACACAUGCUCGCCCGGGGCGGGGGCCACACCGGACCCGUCGAGCCGAGGAGAGAGCGCACUUCGGGGGAAGGAGCGCACCAUCAAGGGAGGGUGGGCUGUGCUAAGUGUCAGAGGCCGAGCUGAGGAUCGAUGCUGACAUCUUGUGGUAAUAGCACAUCACGACAUGUGAUUGUUUCUCCGCUCGAGCGAACCCUGAAUAUUUUCUCCUAUCCACUUUCAGCUCCACAAAAGUGAGUGGGGACCCUGACAGACAGACAGGCAGGCAGGCAGACAGACCAACUCCGUCUGUCCAUUCUUUGGAUACUGGCUCGUUCCCGGAGUUUUGGCGCUCCCAACUGCCGCACCAGCUCAUUUCGGACUUGCAUUUUCUUGAUACCAAUUCAUAUCUGGGGCUUCAGUGACGCCCGGACCUGUUAAGGCAUGACUUUCAUGGUGCUGAUAAUGGUUAAAUUCAGAUUUUCUUUUUUUGUUGCUCUGACUCCUGUUUGGAUUAUACUGGAUGAAUUCUGGAGGCUGUUCUUCGAAUACUGGCUAAUUGCUGGUGUCUGAAUGACAAUGACACUAGCUGAUUAUUUCUCCAGCAUCACAUAUUAAAAUCUAAGUUGUUGUUGUUUUUCCAUUUAUGAGAAGAACAUCUUGUCAGUUGGUUGACAACAGAAAUGUAGCAACCUAAUUCCAUUGCUUAAUUGGCUUAAUUAGCUUUAAGCACACAAGGAAGAUAAUCAUAUCUUGCAGACGUCAUGCUAGUUAGCAACUAGCCCAAUUGGCACUCCUGGGGACACUCCUCAUUCCUCCCUCCACAAUGUGGUAGAGUCACUUUAAAGAAGGCAGGCAAAAAGUGAGGAGAGGAAAAAAAAAAAAAAAAAGAGUCUCAAUUCACGGCAUGCUAAA